GAUGAAGAACGUAGCGAAACGCGAUACGUAAUGUGAAUUGCAGAAUUCAGUGAAUCAUCGAAUCUUUGAACGCACAUUGCGCCCCCUGGUAUUCCGGGGGGCAUGCCUGUCCGAGCGUCAUUACAACCCUCAAGCUCAGCUUGGUGUUGGGCCCCGCCGCCCCGGCGGGCCCUAAAGUCAGUGGCGGUGCCGUCCGGCUCCGAGCGUAGUAAUUCUUCUCGCUCUGGAGGUCCGGUCGUGUGCUCGCCAGCAACCCCCAAUUUUUUUCAGGUUGACCUCGGAUCAGGUAGGGAUACCCGCUGAACUUAAGCAUAUCAAUAAGCGGAGGA
rnacentral:misc_RNA from 1 species